rnacentral:rRNA from 1 species
GACGAACGCUGGCGGCGUGCUUAACACGUGCAAGUCGAACGGUAAGGCCCUUCGGGGUACACGAGUGGCGAACGGGUGAGUAACACGUGGGUGAUCUGCCCUGCACUUCGGGAUAAGCCUGGGAAACUGGGUCUAAUACCGGAUAGGACUCCGGACUGCAUGGUCUGGGGUGGAAAGCUUUUGCGGUGGGGGAUGGGGCCGCGGCCUAUCAGCUUGUUGGUGGGGUGAUGGCCUACCAAGGCGGCGCCGGGUAGCCGGCCUGUGAGGGUGACCGGCCACACUGGGACUGGGAUACGGCCCGGACUCCUACGGGAGGCAGGAGUGGGGGAUAUUGCACAAUGGGCGCAAGCCUGAUGCAGCGACGCCGCGUGAGGGAUGACGGCCUUCGGGUUGUAAACCUCUUUCAGCAUCGACGAAGCGAAAGUGACGGUAGGUGCAGAAGAAGGACCGGCCAACUACGUGCCAGCCGCCGCCGUAA